rnacentral:rRNA from 1 species
GAUGAACGCUAGCGGGAGGCUUAACACAUGCAAGUCGAGGGGCAGCAUAGGGUAGCAAUACUCUGAUGGCGACCGGCAAACGGGUGAGUAACGCGUAUGCAACCUACCCUGUACAGGGGGAUAACCCGGAGAAAUUCGGACUAAUAUCCCGUAAUAAUAUCCGGAGGCAUCUUUGGAUAUUUAAAGUUCCGACGGUACGGGAUGGGCAUGCGUAACAUUAACUGGUUGGUAAGGUAACGGCUUACCAAGGCUAUGAUGUUUAGGGGUCCUGAGAGGGUGGUCCCCCACACUGGUACUGAGACACGGACCAGACUCCUACGGGAGGCAGCAGUGAGGAAUAUUGGUCAAUGGGCGCAAGCCUGAACCAGCCAUCCCGCGUGCAGGAAGACGGCCCUAUGGGUUGUAAACUGCUUUUCCAGGGAGAGAAACUUACGCACGUGUUGCGUGACUGACGGUACCCUGGGAAUAAGCAUCGGCUAACUCCGUGCCAGCAGCCGCGGUAAAACGUG